GAUCCCAUCGUCUAACGGUUAGGACACCAGGUUUUCAUCCUGGAAAUCGGGGUUCGAUUCCCCGUGGGAUCA
rnacentral:tRNA from 1 species